CGUUUCACCAAAAGACGUCUGGAUUCUCCAGAAAUUGAAGUUGUAGAUCCAAUUUUUGGAAAAAAUUCUGGAAAGUUUUUAUUUUCUGAUUUCUGUUGGUUUUCUGGUCGGAUUUUGGCCGAAAAUUCCACCCCAACCUCGCUCUGAUACCAAAUGUUGAAUAAUCGACCUCCAAUAGUGGAUUUUCCGGGCUCAGUAUAACCAAUCUCUAUCUUAUUAAACACACCCAACAAAAGCUCCAACCCAAACAACGAUUCUUACUUCGGUUGCUCAACUCAAUGUGUUCACAAAGAACACAAUAUGGUGGCUGCAAUGAAUCACAAAGAAUAGAGGAAGACAGAUUCAGUUUUUGGCUCAAGAGAGAAAACUAGAGAAAAAUGUAGGCUGCCUCUUUUCAAUUGCACACACACACGGCUCCUUCACAAAUGAAAGCAAUAUAUAGGUUUAGGGUGUAAUAAUAUAAUGGGCUCAUGGACCAACUAAUGGUUAAAGGGGGCGGAACACAAAUUGAGCCAUCC
rnacentral:lncRNA from 1 species